CAAGCAUAAUUUUCUGUCCUGAAUUUGAUUCACAAUGUAACAACAAUAUUGAGAGUAUUUUUUUCUCAAAUACGCAAAAGAUUUGCGUCUUAUUAUAAUUGUUAUCAAUAAUAAGCAAAGGAGUGGAACAAUAUGGUUCAGGCAGCUCGUUCAAAGUAGAGAGCAUCCCCGUGACACUGAUUGAAGAUUUGUCGCACUCCACGGACUCCAGGUCCAUGCCAGUCUGAUUGUCUGAUUCUGGUCUGCUUUUUCUUUUGAGUACCACUGUAGUAGACUUCAACGGAAUAUUUAUGCAGCUAGAGAGAACCAUAACGAGUUCAGGUCGAGCAUCCAACAUGACACUCUCAUCUCGCCUGGUUGCCGGCGUUCUCCUGGUCCUGGCAUUAGCUCUGGUCUCUUCCAGUUCCAGCGCAGAGGAGAGGAGCACCGGGCGCGCUGCCAGUGCCUCGGACCAUGAUCAGACGUCGGAAGCUACGGUGCCCCUGUUGAGGCCUCUUGGCUUGAGGACACCGGUGGCAGCUCCGCCCCCGCCGAGGUCGGCAACUCCACGGGCGAGUAUAAGGCCGUAUCAUCGGCCGUCACCGCCGCCGCCAUGGUCGUAGCUGUAGGCUGUACCCUCUAGGGCCUCUAGGUCUAGAGAUACGUGAGAGAAAAUGGUUUCUUGGCGUUGGUGUCCCAUUUCCUGUAAGCCUGGUGUAGUGUUCUUCAGUUUUCAACCAACUGUGUAACUGUGUAAGCUCUAUCUGUCAUGGAUUCAGUCAGGUAUUUGGGCGCUUUCAGCACCAAACACCACCGUUUGCUGAUUAAUAUUUUCCUUCUUGUCUGCUCAACAUUUCUGUGCCAUUCUUUUCGUUGGAUGUCCUGGAAUUUCUUGUAUGUUUCCAAGA
rnacentral:lncRNA from 1 species